GAUGAACGCUGGCGGCGUGCCUAAUACAUGCAAGUCGAGCGAACAGACGAGGAGCUUGCUCCUCUGACGUUAGCGGCGGACGGGUGAGUAACACGUGGAUAACCUACCUAUAAGACUGGGAUAACUUCGGGAAACCGGAGCUAAUACCGGACAAUAUAUUGAACCGCAUGGUUCAAUAGUGAAAGACGGUUUUGCUGUCACUUAUAGAUGGAUCCGCGCCGCAUUAGCUAGUUGGUAAGGUAACGGCUUACCAAGGCUACGAUGCGUAGCCGACCUGAGAGGGUGAUCGGCCACACUGGAACUGAGACACGGUCCAGACUCCUACGGGAGGCAGCAGUAGGGAAUCUUCCGCAAUGGGCGAAAGCCUGACGGAGCAACGCCGCGUGAGUGAUGAAGGUCUUCGGAUCGUAAAACUCUGUUAUUAGGGAAGAACAAAUGUGUAAGUAACUAUGCACGUCUUGACGGUACCUAAUCAGAAAGCCACGGCUAACUACGUG
rnacentral:rRNA from 1 species